GAGAGUUAAACAGUACGUGAAAUUGUUGAAAGGGAAACGAUUGAAGUCAGUCAUACCAACGGGAAAUCAACCUUUUGAGCUCGGUCUCGUGGGUUUUGAAGAGUUUCAAAGCCUUCGGAUUCGCGGGAUUGGGAUCUCUUGGUGUACUUUUUCGACCGGUUAGUCUACAUCGGUUUUGAAUGUCAUAAAAUGACUGGAGGAAUGUAGCUUCGAUCUCGUAUUGAAGUGUUAUAGCCUUUGGUAGAUGUGAUGUUUGAGACCGAGGAUUGCAACGGAUACCCUUCAGGGCUAUUCGUCUGAUCUCUGAUACGUUGCCCUGAUGUUGAAAGCUUGCUUAUGAUGUUAGGGUAUUACGGUCAAAAGGUUAGAACGAAUUACAUUCGUUAAGGAUGUUGACGUAAUGACUUUAAACGA
rnacentral:rRNA from 1 species